rnacentral:piRNA from 2 species
UAACAUGCUGUAGUGACCAGAAGGAUGGACCC